rnacentral:lncRNA from 1 species
AAUGGUGGUCUCAAAACUUGACGUUGGUAUAGAUUUAGGGUGGUUUUGGUGGUGGUCCGUGUGAGUUCGAAGGAGAGAGACAGAGAGAGUGAGAAAUCGUGAAGGAGGAGAGAGAAAGACAGUGAACGGGAAAUGAGGAGGGUUUUGAGGGAUGUGGGGAUCCCACGUGGUCCUUAUUCCAAUCUCCAAACACCAAACUUUAACAUUUUAACCUAAAAAUCUAAGUUCCAUCCUUAUUAAAUUCCAUUUUAUUUUUCAAACUUAGGAACCUAGAUAAUUAGCAACCUGAGCUUCACAAAUUUAGUAUUUCUUAAGGGCAAUUUCGUCCAUUCACAGCCACGAAUAUAAUAAUUUGGAACGGGCUGUGACAAUCUUCCCUCCUUAUAGAAUUUCGUCCCCGAAAUUCCAGCAACCAACCAAUUCAUCAACACUUAUACCAACCUCGGUAAGUUUCUUUCAUCCGAUUCUUUUUCUCCCACGUAAUUUUCUUCCACUGAAUGAUUCCUUCACAAAACUUUUACCAUUUACUCUAUCUUAACUCUCAGGACCUUCUUUUUCCAAUCCAAAUUCUACUUUUCUAAGGUGAACACUUCUAAAAUAUAAAACCAUUUACCUUAUAUACUCGAUUAGUGGCAUAUCCAUCUGUUGAUGUCUUUUGUCAUUCCUGGUUACUUUUAGGUUAACUUAAUCACCUGAAAUACUUUGAGGAGACUCAUCCAUAGUCUCAGGGUCUACUAAAACUCUUUCUCGAUCGAAUCUUU